rnacentral:misc_RNA from 1 species
AUUAUUUAUAAAUUUAAUGGAUAAGAAGAAAUUAAUGAUGAGUAACCAAUCAGAGAUAAUGAAAGAAAGAUGCUGAUCAUUGUCAUGACUUGGAAAAGCCCAUCACCACACAACUCAGAAUCUCAGAUGGAAAGUAGGAUAAUAAGUUCUCGUCUCUUAGAAUUAGUCGCUAUUAUACCUUAUAUUGCAUUUUCACAAUUCUUCUAUCAUAUCUUUUUCAGUUUAUUAUCUUGCAGACGAGGCUUUGUCAAUGCUGCCAAUCAUUUUUCUGCCACAUAAAGCUGCACACAGUUCUUAGCUGAUGAACUUCCGAACGAUUUUGAAUGGGUUCAGUAAUUUGAACCAGUUUAGAUUAAGCUCAGUGCACAAUUAAUCUUGAACAGACCAAACCAAAUAUCUCCUUUCAAACAUAUUUACAUCCUUGAUAUUCAAUUUUCAAACUCUUGUCAAGAUCCUCAAAGUUACGUGCACAAAUCGAGCCCAUGCUCUAACAGAUUCACAUGUGUAGGAACAAUGACAGGGAAGAUCUAGAUCAACUGAAAAGUGGCACAUUGAGAGACAUUACAUCCAGGGAAGCAAGCCGCAGAAGAACUUUUCUAGAAAGAAAUUUGAGUCUCAAACAGAUAUUAUGAACACUCAAUUGAUCUACAAGCCAGUGUUGUCAAGAGGAGUCUGGGUGAGGCAAAAUCCGGGCACCUCGCCUGGGAAGUCUCCAGGUGAGGCGCCUUCAACCAGGCAAUGCCCAGGUGAGGCGUCAUUAGGUGCCA